CCCUUAGAUGUCCUGGGCUGCACGCGCGCUACACUGGAAGUUACGGAUUGAGAUACUACCUUGUCCGAAAUGGUCCGGGUAAUCACCUAAAAGCUUAUCAUAAUUGGAAUGGAUUAUUGUAACUAGUAAUCCUGAACGAGGAAUUCCUAGUAAGUCCCAGUCAACAGCUGGUACUGAUUACGUCCCUGCCCUUUGUACACACCGCCCGUCGCUACUACUGAUUGGACGUUUAAGCAAGAUUUUUAAACACUGACAGUGUGUAGUUCACGCUAUACUACAGUGAGAAGAAGAAGAUCGAGCUUACUUGUCUAGAGGAAGUAAAAGUCGUAACA
rnacentral:rRNA from 1 species